rnacentral:tRNA from 1 species
UCCGCAAUCGUCUAGUGGUUUAGGAUACCUCGUUUUCACCGAGGCGGCCGGGGUUCAAUUCCCCGUUGCGGAG